AUGUAGGACCUAAAAUAAUUGGAUAACAAAGAAACUUGAGCAUUUGAAGCUAAAUGGAAAAAAAAAUUAAUUCAGACACAGGAUAAAAAAAAAAAAACAGCUUCCAGGAUUUUCGAAGGAACAACCGAAGAAUAUCAAGACUGUUCAUCCCUCUGAGCUGGAAAGAGCAGAUGGACACCAGAGCACAGGGAAGAGGCCAAGGCGGCAUCCCCCUCUUUCAGCGGGUGACUUCCCAUAUCUGCCUUCCUGGACUGAUGCCUUCCUCUCCCCAUUAGGAAGGUGGCCUAGAGGUGUACAGCCUCAGGAGAUAAAGUAGUGUGAGGGAGUUGUGGGGGACUCAGAAGCCGUGAGCUGGGGAGGGAGGAACUCUCCCUUGAACCUCUGUUGGGCCGCACUGGUGAAGGAAGUUUGUGUUUCUAAUGCCUUUUGAUGGUCAGGAUUUUACUGGGUCUUAAAUCAUUUCUAGAGGAAUUUAUUCGAGGGUACAAAUCCAGAAAGAUGUUUUGUUUCUUAGAAACCUAUUAAUAGCUAAGGUUAUUUUAGGAAAUGUCACCGAGGGGAGGGUGGCGAUGUUUAGUGAAUGUGUCUUCCCCCCGCUGAGGCACAGAACCCCUUCUGUCAUGUUCCACAUUUCCAUGUGAUUGAGGAGCUAAUUCUGAGCUCUGUUCUCAUCCACUCAUCUUUCUCCCCCAUUUCAUGUGGUUCUUCACUUUUCUAUACUGUUUUAAUAUAAUUUCACAAUAUAUUUUAAUAUCCCUUGUAGCCAGACUAGGCGCUACCCAUGCUCAUUACUGUUUUUUCCUUUCUUUAAUUUCAAACCAGCAAAAAUUGAGUUUCGAAAAAAUUAUACAAGGAAUACUUCUAUUCCCCUUUGCCAAGACUGGCAGGAAGUGGCUUUUUUAAGCCAUCACCAUCGUGUUUUUCUGAGUUCCUGGAGUGUGCAGAUUGCAGAUCCCCGCUCUGAACACGGACGUGCUUGCAGCUUUCUGAGUACGAAGAGCUGUAAGAGCAGCUCAGGGGUCAGGCGCUGUUACCAUCACCACACUUAGUGUAAUUCAUAAAUUAAAGCACAGAGCAAAUAAAAUGAGACGCAGACCAAGCCCCCUGAGGACAGAGCUCGCUCGCUGUGUUUCAACAGUUCAUGGGUUGGCCACGGGAGCCACCUGCAUGAAAUUUGGAAGUGGACAGGAAGCAGCAGCGCUACUUCCUCACCAGAGAUCGCCGACGUCAGGCCACCACUACAUCUUAGGCUCCGGUUCAAGGACUGCUGCCCUGUGCUGGGCCCAGCAGCCAGGUUCAUGGCCACUCCAGCUCCCACAGAACUCUGCCUUCAGUUCUUCCAAAUCGCAGGCCAGGUAUGAAUCGAGCUUCACCUGUUAAGUCAUCAGCAGGAGGAUGAGGCUUCGAGAAGAGGGGAAACUGGCGUGGGUCCUGGCGAGAGGCAUGCCAGUUCCAGCCGGUUGCUCACAGGCUGCAGCUGUCCUGGCCAUCUCAGAUCACACUGCCACCUUCUUUUCCGACCGCCUGCCCAGUGACUUCACCUGCACCAGAAACAGCUCAACUGGGGCUUGCUUAGCAGCACCCGUAAUGAAGUACGCAAGGUCAGUCCUUCAACGCCCCUGCUCCUGAUUCUGUGUCUGUCACUCCUAGUGUCCAGCUUGACCUUUGGCAGAUACCUUCAUUUCCCUGAGCCUGUUUCCACUUCCCUGUGGUGUGAGCUGGGCUGGACAGGCUAUCGGGCCCCUUCCAGCUCCAGGAUUCCACUUCUGUGAUUGAUACUCUAGCCACAUCUUUACCUGUUGUCUCUGAGCAGUGGCCCUGUGUUUUGGAAGUGACUUCACAUUCUGAGCUCCCAACGGAGCUUGUUUCCUUCUUUUUGUUUUAUUAGAAAAUAUCCAGUGACUCCUUUCUUUUGAGCAUCUGUUUUGCUGAUCUAUGACCUCUGCCUCUGUAUGUAUGAACAUUGUCAAACACACCUCUAUAAACUUCAGUGUCCUUGUAAAACUCGUUGUAGUGGAAGUUGGUAGGAGCUGGCCUUCACCCCGUGUUGUGUGUGCAUGCCAGUUUACAGCGUGUGAGAGUGUAGAUCUCAUGAGAAUCUAUAUAAUUUGACAGAUGUCACGUCUUUGUUGCCCUUGAAGUUCUGUCCUUAGGAACAGAAUUUAUAUCUCUGCAGGGUCAGCACUGGAUGAAAUGUAUGAUAAGGACUCCAUACCCCAAGAUGCAGGAGUGCACUCAAGGAACAAGGCAAGCUUUUUGUUUGUUACAAUCUCCUUCGCUUUUCCCACCAACAUAUAAGGAGGGUACGUUACGGUUGUCACAAACAUGCAGUUUCCAAGGUUACAUACACUAACGGUGCUGGGGGACUGACAUGGGGCCCCUGCUUCUGUGGAUUUGUAGAACUGACUCAGCUGUGGCCGUUCCCUUAGCAAGUCCCAAGGCAAAACCAGGAAUCUUCAGGAAUGGAAGCUGGGAGCAAGCCUUGAUUAAUAUUCUAGGAUGCAGGACAGUAAUGUUCAGAGAAAAGCACCUGUACAAAUGUUACUAGAUCUAAAACGAUUCUGCUUGGUGUCAGAAAACAAAACCAGAUGGUAUUAAAAAUGGCAGUGACGAAAAAAAAAUUGGCAGUGACGGCUUUGACGUGAAAAGUUUCUGUCAACUAGUGCCGGUAGUACACCCUUGCCUUGACAUCUCUAUCUUCCUUUCCCUUAGCCUGAGCUCUGGUCUAAUAUUCCUUGUCAAACCCAAACCAGUCUUCCCAUACUAGCCUGUUCUUACUGGCCUCUAAGAGGUUCCCAGAUCUGUGUGCUUAAGUCGUAACAGACUUGGCCUUCAGGAGCUCCCAAGAUCUGCACCUUCUCAUCUGAAGCCUCUCCCUGAACAUCUGCUCACACACGCCGCCGCCUUCCUCUCUGGAGGCAGACGUGCUCCCACUCCCUUUGCUCUUCCAUCCUGUGUCUGCCUCUGGUUCUUUGCCAGGUGCAGGCCAAGGCCGCUCUUAGUCUUGGCUCACCCAGUACCAUCCCUCUUGCUUUUCAAUUUUCUUAAAGUUAACUUCAUCUCAGAAGCCUGUCCCAACCAACUUAAGUGACAUCACCUGUGAUUCUUAUUCCAAAGUAAUAUGCUUUAUUAUGAAGCAUAUUUAUGGGGGUAGUAAAAUCUUUAUUCCUUUGAUGAGGCUAAGCUACUAGUCUCCUAAAUUGUCCUAUGCAGUGUACUUUAUAAGCAGAGGCGUCCUGAAGAUGUACAUGGCAAGGAUGGAGAACAGAUCUUUAAUGAGUAUUCCCCAUUUUUCCUAUAAGAAUUAUAAAACCAUUUACAUAUACCGUUAGAAUGUGCCAUGAAUGUGCAUCUGGUCUUCUUCCUCCCUAUACUUGUUCUCGGUUCAGUCAGUCAGCAAAUAUUUACCAAGUGUCUAGGGCUCCCCGCUGUAGUGUGCAUGGGUACAGGCAUUGAAGAACGAAGGCCAGUUUGGAACUCUCAGCCAACGAGCUGGUGUUUCGUGGGAAGGACGGCACACGUACUGUAUCUGGUGCCCUCACCACUUUAUUUUAUUUAUUUAUUCAUCUAUUUAUUUAUUUAUUUAUUUAUUAAGAUUUUUAUUUAUUUAUUUGACAGACAGAGAU